rnacentral:rRNA from 1 species
CGGUAAUUCCAGCUCCAAUAGCGUAUAUUAAAGUUGUUGCAGUUAAAAAGCUCGUAGUUGAACCUUGGGCUUGGUUGGCCGGUCCGCCUUUUUGGCGAGUACUGGACCCAACCGAGCCUUUCCUUCUGGCUAACCUUUCGCCCUUGUGGUGUUUGGCGAACCAGGACUUUUACUUUGAAAAAAUUAGAGUGUUCAAAGCAGGCCUUUGCUCGAAUAUAUUAGCAUGGAAUAAUAGAAUAGGACGUUAUGGUUCUAUUUUGUUGGUUUCUAGGACCAUCGUAAUGAUUAAUAGGGACGGUCGGGGGCAUCAGUAUUCAGUUGUCAGAGGUGAAAUUCUUGGAUUACCUGAAGACUAACUACUGCGAAAGCAUUUGCCAAGGACGUUUUCAUUAAUCAAGAACGAAAGUUAGGGGAUCGAAGAUGAUCAGAUACCGUCGUAGUCUUAACCAUAAACUAUGCCGACUAGGGAUCGGGUGUUGUUCUUUUUUUGACGCACUCGGCACCUUACGAGAAGUCAAAGUCUUUGGGUUCUGGGGGGAGUAUGGUCGCAAGGCUGAAACUUAAAGGAAUUGACGGAAGGGCACCACCAGGAGUGGAGCCUGCGGCUUAAUUUGACUCAACACGGGGAAACUCACCAGGUCCAGACACAAUAAGGAUUGACAGAUUGAGAGCUCUUUCUUGAUUUUGUGGGUGGUGGUGCAUGGCCGUUCUUAGUUGGUGGAGUGAUUUGUCUGCUUAAUUGCGAUAACGAACGAGACCUUAACCUACUAAAUAGUGCUGCUAGCUUUUGCUGGUAUAGUCACUUCUUAGAGGGACUAUCGAUUUCAAGUCGAUGGAAGUUUGAGGCAAUAACAGGUCUGUGAUGCCCUUAGACGUUCUGGGCCGCACGCGCGCUACACUGACGGAGCCAACGAGUAUUAACCUUGGCCGANAGGUCUGGGAAAUCUUGUGAAACUCCGUCGUGCUGGGGAUAGAGCAUUGUAAUUAUUGCUCUUCAACGAGGAAUUCCUAGUAAGCNCAAGUCAUCAGCUUGCGUUGAUUACGUCCCUGCCCCUUGNACNCNCCGCCC